AACGAACGCUGGCGGCAGGCUUAACACAUGCAAGUCGAACGCAUCCUUCGGGGUGAGUGGCAGACGGGUGAGUAACGCGUGGGAACGUGCCCUUCAGUUCGGGAUAACCCAGGGAAACUUGGGCUAAUACCGGAUACGUGCGAGAGCAGAAAGAUUUAUCGCUGAAGGAUCGGCCCGCGUCUGAUUAGCUAGUUGGUGGGGUAAUGGCCCACCAAGGCGACGAUCAGUAGCUGGUCUGAGAGGAUGAUCAGCCACAUUGGGACUGGGACACGGCCCAAACUCCUACGGGAGGCAGCAGUGGGGAGUAUUGGACAAUGGGCGCAAGCCUGAUCCAGCCAUGCCGCGUGAGUGAUGGAGGCCUUAGGGUUGUAAAGCUCUUUCGUCCGGGACGAUAAUGACGGUACCGGAAGAAGAAGCCCCGGCUAACUUCGUGCCAGCAGCCGCGGUAA
rnacentral:rRNA from 1 species